GUGAGGAAUAUUGGUCAAUGGGCGAGAGCCUGAACCAGCCAAGUCGCGUGAAGGAUGAAGGUUUUAUGAAUUGUAAACUUCUUUUGCAGGGGAAUAAAGUACGGUACGUGUACCGUUUUGUAUGUACUCUGCGAAUAAGGAUCGGCUAACUCCGUGCCAGCAGCCGCGGUAAUACGGAGGAUCCAAGCGUUAUCCGGAUUUAUUGGGUUUAAAGGGUGCGCAGGCGGGUUGAUAAGUCAGCGGUGAAAGUUUGCAGCUUAACUGUAAAAUUGCCGUUGAAACUGUCGAUCUUGAGUGCAAAUGAGGUAAGCGGAAUGUGUUGUGUAGCGGUGAAAUGCUUAGAUAUAACACAGAACACCGAUUGCGAAGGCAGCUUACUGGGAUGCAACUGACGCUCAUGCACGAAAGCGUGGGGAUCAAACAGGAUUAGAUACCUGUGUAGUCC
rnacentral:rRNA from 1 species